rnacentral:lncRNA from 1 species
AUGCACUCAACUUUAAUUAAGCAUCGAUCAUCUCUUGGCUACGUGACUAUCUUCCCUGUUCCUCCAGGAAAGGAGCCGCUUGGCGCUCCUUGUCAUUACCGAAGCAGAGCGAAAGCCUUCAACUGCAGACUGCUGCAAUUUCCACCCUAACAGUCAACCCAGCAAUUAGAACCGUUUGUUACAGUGACAGCAGAACAAACCACUUUCAAGCAGCAAGGCUGCCUGAGCUGCCGGAGCCCG